CUCCUGUAGCACGGAUCCACAGGAUGUCUAUGCUCUCAGAUCUCUUUCUGGUGAAUGGAAAAAUGGACCUUUGAGUUGGAGGCACUCAGAUGAUCCGUGUGGUAAUUGGGAUGGAGUUAAUUGUAGCAACUCAAUAAGGGUCACAGAGCUGAAGCUAUUCAACAUGGGCAUUAAGGGUACACUAAGCAAU